ACAUGGAGAUGGUUUUCAUCGAAAAUGUCCUGAUUUGAAGGGCAUCAAUAACGUGGGAAAGUCUGCUUCUAAUGAAGCAGCAAGAAUGAAGAAUAUACAAAAACCACAAUCAGG